CACUAACUCAAUGAACCAUCUAAGGUCUGU
rnacentral:piRNA from 1 species